AACGAACGCUGGCGGCAGGCCUAACACAUGCAAGUCGAGCGAAGCCUUCGGGCUUAGCGGCGGACGGGUGAGUAACGCGUGGGAACGUGCCCUUUGGUACGGAAUAGCCCCGGGAAACUGGGAGUAAUACCGUAUGUGGUCGAGAGACGAAAGAUUUAUCGCCAAAGGAUCGGCCCGCGUUGGAUUAGGUAGUUGGUGGGGUAAUGGCCUACCAAGCCGACGAUCCAUAGCUGGUUUGAGAGGAUGAUCAGCCACACUGGGACUGAGACACGGCCCAGACUCCUACGGGAGGCAGCAGUGGGGAAUCUUAGACAAUGGGGGAAACCUUGAUCUAGCCUUGCCGCGUGAUCGAUGAAGGCCUUAGGGUUGUAAAGAUCUUUCAGUGGGGAAGAUAAUGACUGUACCCACAGAAGAAGCCCCGGCUAACUCCGUGCCAGCCGCCGCGGUAACAC
rnacentral:rRNA from 1 species